rnacentral:rRNA from 1 species
CGAACGGGUGAGUAACACGUGGGUAACCUGCCCCGAUGAUUGGGACAACCCGAGGAAACUCGGGCUAAUACCAAAUGUGCCCUCCGGCCUCAAGGCCGUUGGGGAAAGGAAGCUUCGGCCUCCGCAUCGGGAUGGGCCCGCGGCCCAUUAGCUUGUUGGUGAGGUAACGGCUCACCAAGGCGACGAUGGGUAGCUGGUCUGAGAGGACGAUCAGCCACACUGGGACUGAGACACGGCCCAG